rnacentral:rRNA from 1 species
AACGCGAAGAACCUUACCUAGGCUUGACAGUUGGGGAAAUCUGGCAGAGAUGUCAGGUCCGUAAGGGUCCCAAAACAGGUGGUGCAUGGCUGUCGUCAGCUCGUGUCGUGAGAUGUUGGGUUAAGUCCCGCAACGAGCGCAACCCUCGUCGUAUGUUGCCAGCGGAUAAUGCCGGGGACUCAUACGAGACUGCCGGGGUCAACUCGGAGGAAGGUGGGGACGACGUCAAGUCAUCAUGCCCCUUAUGUCUAGGGCUGCACGCAUGCUACAAUGGCCGGUACAGAGGGCUGCGAAACCGUAAGGUGGAGCGAAUCCCAAAAAGCCGGUCUCAGUUCGGAUUGGGGUCUGCAACUCGACCCCAUGAAGUCGGAGUCGCUAGUAAUCGCAGAUCAGCAACGCUGCGGUGAAUACGUUCCCGGGCCUUGUACACACCG